AACGAACGCUGGCGGCAUGCCUAACACAUGCAAGUCGAACGAGACCUCCGGGUCUAGUGGCGCACGGGGGCGUAACGCGUGGGAACCUGCCCUUAGGCUCGGAAUAACUCCCCGAAAGGGGUGCUAAUACCGGAUAAUGUCUUCGGACCAAAGGUUUGACGCCUUUGGAUGGGCCCGCGUUGGUUUAGCUAGUUGGUAGGGUAAAAGCCUACCAAGGCGACGAUCCAUAGCGGGUCUGAGAGGAUGAUCCGCCACACUGGGGCUGAGACACGGCCCAGACUCCUACGGGAGGCAGCAGUGGGGAAUAUUGGACAAUGGGCGAAGGCCUGAUCCAGCACUGCCGCGUGAGUGAUGAAGGCCUUAGGGUAGUAAAGCUCUUUUACCCGGGAUGAUAAUGACAGUACCGGGAGAAUAAGCUCCGGCUAACUCCGUG
rnacentral:rRNA from 1 species